rnacentral:misc_RNA from 1 species
GAUGAAGAACGCAGCGAAAUGCGAUACGUAAUGUGAAUUGCAGAAUUCAGUGAAUCAUCGAGUCUUUGAACGCACAUUGCGCCCCCUGGUAUUCCGGGGGGCAUGCCUGUCCGAGCGUCAUUGCUGCCCUCAAGCACGGCUUGUGUGUUGGGCCUCCGUCCUCCUCCCGGGGGACGGGCCCGAAAGGCAGCGGCGGCACCGCGUCCGGUCCUCGAGCGUAUGGGGCUUCGUCACCCGCUCUUGUAGGCCCGGCCGGCGCUUGCCGACACAUCAAUCUUUUUUCCAGGUUGACCUCGGAUCAGGUAGGGAUACCCGCUGAACUUAAGCAUAUCAAUAAGGAGGA